AUUGAACGCUGGCGGCAGGCUUAACACAUGCAAGUCGAGCGGAUGAGGGGAGCUUGCUCCUGGUUUCAGCGGCGGACGGGUGAGUAAUGCCUAGGAAUCUGCCUGGUAGUGGGGGAUAACGUCCGGAAACGGGCGCUAAUACCGCAUACGUCCUGAGGGAGAAAGUGGGGGAUCUUCGGACCUCACGCUAUGAGAUGAGCCUAGGUCGGAUUAGCUAGUUGGUGGGGUAAAGGCCUACCAAGGCGACGAUCCGUAGCUGGUCUGAGAGGAUGAUCAGUCACACGGGAACUGAGACACGGUCCAGACUCCUACGGGAGGCAGCAGUGGGGAAUAUUGGACAAUGGGCGAAAGCCUGGUCCAGCCAUGCCGCGUGUGUGAAGAAGGCCUUCGGAUUGUAAAGCACUUUAAGUUGGGAGGAAGGGCAGUAAGUUAAUACCUUGCUGUUUUGACGUUACCGGCAGAAUAAGCACCGGCUAACUACGUG
rnacentral:rRNA from 1 species